UGCGCACGAAGGUUCAAGCUUGGCUGACGUAAAAACAUAUGAAUCAAAUCCAUAUAGUUUUUGAAAAAAAUAAAAAGGUACAAUACUUUUCUCACAGACCUCGUACAUAUGGACUAAAAACUAUAAGAAGACUAACAUUACAAAAGUCAGUCUUUAGAGAAUAAAGUCAUUUUAUCAGGAAAAUAUAAAAGAAAUCAAACAAGUACAAGAAAAAAAUUGUAGCAUUUGGAGAAAAAACAGAAGCAGUUCUAUAAAAUCUAACUAACUCACUCAGACUUUUUAUUAACCAUUCAAACAAACUGAAGUUGGUUUUGUUAAAAUAAAAAAGCAUCUUCACAAAAAGUUUCUCAGCAUCAAAUCUAAAUUUGCUAAUGAACGUUUCUUCCAGCAGGCUGUGGAUUACUACAUUUCCCACAGUGCCCUUCAUCCACGGGACAAGAAGAGCAAAAAAGUGGCGCGCAGCGGAGCCGAGGAGCAUAUUCUCACACCUGCGAGUCAUCUGCCUUUGAUAAUGAGUGGUGUACUUAAACCCCGCCUGGGCCAGAAUCUCAUACCUGAAUCAUGCCAGAAUCUGAGAUCAUCUUGAGACUAGAUACCAGCCUGAUACUAUAACCUGCAGAGAGAUUUCACAGAGACUUCCCCAACAUGAAUCCUGAGCUUCCUGCAGCUUCUCUUCAAGAACGUACUUCUGUCCUCAGCUCUGUCCCUGUCCUGGAUUCCAACCAGUUCCUACUCCAUGGACUCCAACCAGUUCCUACUCCACAAGCCUGGUUCCAUUUGCACUGCAGCUCCCGGCUUCCACCGCCCGGAGCGGGCCCUGUCUUCACUCUCCAGGCUCCGUCAUUCAGUUAUUUACUUCUG